rnacentral:lncRNA from 10 species
UGAUCUUUAAGUAGAGGUUGCAGGAAGUUUGGGGAGUUGAUUGGUAGGACUGAGUAGAAAGCAGAAGUAACACAGGAGGUGGAGGUAAAGAGAAGAGAAAUUAAGAAGGAAAAUCUCAUCAAAUGACAUAUUUAAAGAUAAAUUAAUUAAAUACAGAAAAGGUCUUUUACAUGCAUCGUUGGAUUGCAGUCUCAAGCCUGGGAUUCCAACGGAAUUAACGUCCAUUGAAAACUUACUGUGCUCAAGGCACAGAACGGGGUAGUUUUAUACACAUUCUCCCAUUUGGAUUUUUCAAAGACAACAUCUAAUCAUCCCCAGAGAAAUUUCAGCUGAGAAGACAGGAUGAUGAAGUGCCCUGGGGGCCAGAGUCCAGACAAGUAUUUUGGCACCUCCAAGGACUCGCAGAACACAGAGAGGAAAAGAGAGACCCUGUUAUCUUUCCGCAGGGGUGGCCGUUCAAACUCUCAGAGAUGGAAGUUAAGAUUUCCUUUGGUAUAAGUGGCAGUUUGACUGGCUGCAAGGAGAGCCUCAGUUUGUUUAAUUUGGAGUAAAAUUUUAUGAGUUAAUCUCUAGUGAGGGAAAGCAGCAGUAAACACAGAACAUACUGGUCAUUAUUCUAAGUAUUUCUACAUUCUUUCUCAUGCAUGAAAGGAGAAAAAAAGUCACAAAAAUGAGGAGGCAUGGUG